rnacentral:lncRNA from 1 species
GAAUGACCUCGUGGAUGGGGGGCAGGAGGGCCUCAGUCUGCAGAGACACAGAAGCAAAUGAUUGUAUGAAGCUCCUGACUGUAUGAAGUUCUCAGUCAAACAAAAUAGUACCUCUUCUGCCCAUCUCAGAGGUGGAUAAGGAUAAAGUGAAAUAAUGGAAAGCACAAGGAACAGUAAAAGGCAAAUGUCAAGAAGCUGUUUGCAAAGUUACCAAGAUGUAAAAUUAGAUUUUACUUAUUAAUAAUCAUGUCACUUGUCAUUCUGUUUAUAAUGGUCAAUUCACUGCUGAUAUUCAAGUGGACCGUUUAAACUGUAUUUUUGCUCAGCUAUCCCUCCAAAUAAAUAUCUCAAAAUCUUGACUGUUUAUUUUCUUAGCCCAUCUUAUUUUCCCAGGCCUCAAAGCGUGGCUUCUCAAAUCCCUGGCUUGUCUUCUGAUUCUGGCCAGUCUAGGUGGGGUCUGGCUUCAGUUUGUACAGAUUCUCACUCCCAAUCUCAUAUUGGUCAAACAAACCCAGAAGUAAGAUCUACACGUAUUAAUCAACCAUUCUCAGACCAGGAUUGGAAUAAUUUGAAAA